UGAAGAUGGAUACACAGCAAAGAUUUUUAAUCUCUGUGAUAUACUAAACAAAGAUGAUAAACCCAUCGCUUGCUUUAGAGAUCUGACACCAGGAGAAGAAGUACUUGCAAGAUGGUCUGACAAUAAGUUCUACAAAGCUACAGUAGACUUCACUGGAACAGCUGACAAAACAGUGGAUACCAAAAAGGCGACAAAGAAGGACAUGAAAAAAAGAGAUGCAGCUGCACAAAGAUUCUACAACCUUCCAUUCCUACCUCAAGCAGGCCAGUCCACCUCUGCACAGGAUCACCUAAAUACUGUGGAAAAAUUAGUGGAGGAAAAGGCCAAACUGCAUGAUGUGCUGUGUGGUAUAAGUGGUGAGCACCUCGAGGCAUUCAGAAGUUUUCUGGACAAAGUGGAACAGAUCCAACCUCAGGCUGGUGUUUGGGCUCCAAAAGGCAGAUCUCGGCAGCAGGAGCUAUAUCCAGGAAGUGGCCUCUUCUUGUCCUCGACUC